CGGAGGGAGGGGCAGCCUGAGGGUCAACGGUCCCUGGAGCCAUUGUGCUGUCCCUGAGGCUAGACGGGUACCUGGGUCCUGCUCCCAGGCCAAUCAAGGCCGCUCCCUCCAUCCGUCCACCCUGGAGAAAGGCAGCUAGAGGAAGGAAGCUGGCUGGGACUUCUCAUCCUCUGCACCGAAGACUUAGAGGGAAGCAGCUUGCCUGGUACAAGAGGAGAACUCAUGACUCAGCCAGUGAUCAGGAAAGUCCUCCAAGGGCAAGACUUGGUGCCUAUUACUCACAGGUGGAGCAAAUCAAUACCUGGGACACUCACUUGAACUGGACGAUGAAAUGAAACCAGAAAUGUGAAUUGGUGAAAAACAUUGGCCAAUUCUCAACCAGAAGACUGGCAGGAACAUCCCCCAUUUCCUUGGGCAGAUGAUCUCCCAGGACAGGUAAUCCAGACC